UCACAGGAACAUAGCCUAACCCCGCCGUUGGUUGAGUGGGGCGUAAGGGAGCGAAAAUUAGUAGCGAAGUAGGUGAUUGUACACUGGCGAGAAAAGCUGUAUGUAUUGAUAAGGUGCCCGUACCGCAAACCGACACAGGUAGAUGAGGAGAGAAUCCUAAGACCAGCGGGAGAAGUGUUGUUAAGGAACUCGGCAAAAUGACCCCGUAACUUCGGGAUAAGGGGAGCCUACGCGAGUAGGCCGCAGAGAAUAGUCUCAAGCGACUGUUUAGCAAAAACACAGGUCUAUGCUAAAUCGAAAGAUGAUGUAUAUGGGCUGACGCCUGCCCGGUGCUGGAAGGUUAAGGGGAAGUGUUAGAGCAAUCGAAGCACUGAACUUAAGCCCCAGUAAACGGCGGCCGUAACAAUAACGGUCCUAAGGUAGCGAAAUUCCUUGUCAGGUAAGUUCUGACCCGCACGAAUGGCGUAACGACUUGAGAGCUGUCUCAACAACAUACCCGGCGAAAUUGAAGUACUGGUAAAGAUGCCAGUUACCCGUGAUAAGACGGAAAGACCCCAUGGAGCUUUACUGUAACUUGAUAUUGAAUUUUUGUAUUACAUGUACAGGAUAGGUGGGAGACAGAGAACUAAUGCCGCCAGGUGUUAGGGAGUCGAUGUUGGGAUACCACUCUUGUAAUAUGAAGGUUCUAACCUGCACCCGUGAAUCCGGGUGGGGGACACUGUCAGGUGGACAGUUUGACUGGGGCGGUCGCCUCCUAAAAGGUAACGGAGGCGUUCAAAGGUUGGUUCAGCACGGACGGAAAUCGUGCAACGAGUGCAAAUGCAUAAACCAGCCUAACUGCGAGACCGACAAGUCGAGCAGUAACGAAAGUUGGAGUUAGUGAUCCGGCGGUAUGAGAGUGGAAUUGCCGUCGCUCAACGGAUAAAAGCUACCCUGGGGAUAACAGGCUGAUCUCCCCCAAGAGUCCACAUCGACGGGGAGGUUUGGCACCUCGAUGUCGGCUCAUCGCAUCCUGGAGCUGUAGUCGGUUCCAAGGGUUGGGCUGUUCGCCCAUUAAAGCGGUACGCGAGCUGGGUUCAGAACGUCGCGAGACAGUUCGGUCCCUAUCUAUCACGGGCGUAGGAAAUUUGAGGAGAGCUGACCUUAGUACGAGAGGACCGGGUUGGACGUACCGCUGGUGCACCUGUUGUUCUGCCAAGGGCAUAGCAGGGUAGCUAAGUACGGACGGGAUAAACGCUGAAGGCAUCUAAGCGUGAAGCCCCCUUCGAGAUAAGAUUUCCCAUAGCGUAGGCUAGUAAGGACCCAUGAAGACUACAUGGUUGAUAGGCCGGAGGUGGAAGUGCAGUAAUGUAUGUAGCUGACCGGUACUAAUAGUCCGAGGGCUAGAUC
rnacentral:rRNA from 1 species